GGGGGUGUAGCUCAGUGGGAGAGUGCGUGCUUCGCAUGCGUGAGGCUCCGGGUUCGACCCCCGGCACCUCCA